GAGAGUGAUGGAUCCCGUGGUCGCUUUCAACAGGAUGUGCAAGUCUGAGAAUGUUGUAUGAAGUGGAACUUGGCAUUUCCACUUGGAUGGAAGAGAAAAGCCAUCACUGUGAUGUGUCUGAAGAUGCCAGGGCUCAUCCUGAGGACAGCUGAGAAAGGCCCUUGAAGGUUUUGAGAGUAGUAACUGAAAGAGAAGCAGCAGCAAGAAUUUCAAGGCUCAUGAGCUUAGGCUUCUCCACAGAUGUGGGCCCCGUGGGUCAGGGAGUUGUCAGUGGGAGGAGGCAGGGGAGCAGGGGAGAAGGGAAGCAGGGCAGGGGUGAGGCUGCAGCGGCAGGACCGCCAGGAUAAAAAUACAGCCCGCAGGGCCCCAUUCAGAGGGCUUCUCCUCCAGCAGGUCUGAGGAGACACAAGUUAAGCAGGUGCUGAUACUCCACUUACAAGCAAGUGCCUCCUCCACUUCCGCACUCCAGUCUCCUGCUCUCUUCCUUCCGCACUCCAGUCUCCUGCUCUCUUCCUCUGGAGCAGCAAUGCACCGCACCAGAGCCGUCUCGCACAGCACUCUCACAUCUCUCAAGCACGGCUUGCAGCCAACUCGGGGCGACCCAGCUGCCUUUUACCGGAGAUGGGGCUCUUGGAGAGAGAAGUCCAUGCCUGUGCCCACCAGCGUACAGGAACUGGAGAAUGACCUGCUUGGUAAUCUCCUUCCGCUUUUACUCACCUCCUUCUUUACCCAGGAAGAGCAAGCACACUGUACGACUGCAUUUGCGUGGCGUCCUCAUGACUGGGUGACAAUGAAUUGUGAGUAGCCAGAGUGUUUAAUAGCCCACAUGAAGCUCUCCAGAACGCUCUCUCUGCAUUGUGCCCACAUCAUUCCCGAUGGAGGCGGCUCUGUUGUCGGGGUUCUUCACUGAGGAUAUAUAUAGAAAAGUCCCCAGCAUGGCACCCUGUGGAUCUGAAGCAUAAGCUUGUAUUGUGGUGAGGUGGAUUAAUUUGACUGCCUUCAAGGCCAGCACCCCAUAUGAGUGCUAGUUUUUAUUUGCUGAUGUACCUGGGGAAGCAGUGGAAGAUAGCCCAAAUCCUUGGGCCCCUGCCACCCACAUGGGAAACCUGGAUGGAGUUCCAGGCUCCAGGCCCAGCACCAGUCCUUAUGGCCAUUUAGGGAGUGAACCAACAAUGGAUGGAAGAUCUCUCUCUCUUUUUGUCUCUCUCAGUAACUGUACCUUUCAAGUAAAUAAAAUUUUUUUUUUUUUUAAAGAAAUAAGCUUU
rnacentral:lncRNA from 1 species